GCUGGGAGUGCUGGUGCACAACGGUCGUCUCUGUGACUUGGAAGACGAUGCGGGAGGAUCACUUGAGCCUGGAAGUUCUAGGACUAGCUUGGGCCAUAAAGUGAGAUCCUGUUUCAA
rnacentral:sRNA from 1 species